rfam:Nitrosopumilus sp. BACL13 MAG-120910-bin56 contig04270_1_120910-bin56, whole genome shotgun sequence.
GGACUCGUGGCUCAGCCUGGAUAGAGCAAGCGGCUUCGAACCGCUAGGUCGAGGGUUCAAAUCCCUUCGAGCCCU